rnacentral:rRNA from 1 species
UACGGAGGAUCCAAGCGUUAUCCGGAUUUAUUGGGUUUAAAGGGUGCGUAGGCGGCCUAUUAAGUCAGGGGUGAAAGACGGUAGCUUAACUAUCGCAGUGCCUUUGAUACUGAUGGGCUUGAAUGGACUAGAGGUAGGCGGAAUGUGACAAGUAGCGGUGAAAUGCAUAGAUAUGUCACAGAACACCAAUUGCGAAGGCAGCUUACUAUGGUUUAAUUGACGCUGAGGCACGAAAGCGUGGGGAUCAAACAGG